rnacentral:antisense_RNA from 17 species
CUUGACGGAGCCGAGCCAGAGGGGUUCGUCGCCCGGCCGGUCCUGGCCGUACGUGGCCAGCAGCGCCUGCGCCUC